rnacentral:rRNA from 1 species
AUACGGAGGGUGCAAGCGUUAUUCGGAAUCACUGGGCGUAAAGGACGCGUAGGCGGGUUGGCAAGUCAGAUGUGAAAUCCUACAGCUUAACUGUAGAACUGCAUUUGAAACUGCUAACCUAGAGUAUGGGAGGGGGAGAUGGAAUUAGUGGUGCAGGAGUAAAAUCCGUAGAUAUCACUAGGAAUACCGAAAGCGAAGGCGAUCUCCUGGAACAUAACUGACGCUAAGGCGUGAAAGCGUGGGGAGCAAACAGGAUUAGAAACCCUAGUAGUCC